AGGUGAUCUACCCUUCAGAGGAGGACAACCUCAGGAAACUGAGGCUAAACCUUCAUACGUUCACUGGUAGGGAUACUGGUGAAGAAAGAGUUACCGUCAAGGUAGCUGCUGAAGGAUGAGCCUGCGGCCCAUCAGGUAGUUGGUGAGGUAACGGCUCACCAAGCCGAAGACGGGUAACCGGUCUGAGAGGAUGUCCGGUCACACUGGGACUGAGACACGGCCCAGACUCCUACGGGAGGCAGCAGCAGGGAAUCUUGGGCAAUGGGCGAAAGCCUGACCCAGCGACGCCGCGUGGAGGAAGAAGUCCUUCGGGGCGUAAACUCCUGGACUGGGGGACGAGGAAGGACGGUACCCCAGUAGAAAGGGACGGCUAACUACGUGCCAGCAGCCGCGGUAAAACGUAGGUCCCGAGCGUUGUUCGGAUUCACUGGGUGUAAAGGGCGCGUAGGUGGUUGUCUGUGUCUCAUGUGAAAACUCAGGGCUCAACUCUGAGAUUGCGUGGGAAACUAGGCAGCUAGAGGACGGUAGAGGGGAGUGGAAUUCCCGGUGUAGCGGUAAAAUGCGUAGAUAUCGGGAGGAACACCGGUGGCGAAGGCGGCUCUCUGGGCCGAUCCUGACGCUGAGGCGCGAAAGCUAGGGGAGCGAACCGGAUUAGAUACCCGGGUAGUCCUAGCCGUAAACGAUGGGUGCUAGGUGUUGGGGGGUAAAGACCCUUCAGUGCCGAAGCCAACGCGAUAAGCAUCCCACCUGGGGAGUACGGCCGCAAGGUUGAAACUCAA
rnacentral:rRNA from 1 species